CUAGUUAUUUUUGUUAAAAGUUUCAUCCAUUUGUACUAUUAACAUUGGCUUAACUGAUAAAAUAAUCAGAUAAUUAUAUUUACGUAUAAAAACUAAUUUUUAACAAUAAAAAUAGAUGAAAUUUUUAACAAAAUGACCGA
rnacentral:pre_miRNA from 1 species